rnacentral:rRNA from 1 species
UACGUAGGGGCAAGCGUUGUCCGGAUUUAUUGGGCGUAAAGAGCGUGUAGGCGGCUAGAUAGGUCCGUUGUGAAAACUGGAGGCUCAACCUCCAGCUGUCGAUGGAACCAUCUGGCUAGAGUCCGGAAGAGGAGAGUGGAAUUCCUGGUGUAGCGGUGAAAUGCGUAGAUAUCAAGGAGGAACACCGGUGGCGAAGGCGGCUUUCUGGACAGUAACUGACGCUGGAGGCGCGAAAGCUAGGGGAGCAAACAGG